GCUUAGCCAUCCAUAAAAGUGUUUUUCCUUGUGCUCCUCCUUGCGAUCACAAUACUGGCGUCAGUUUGUCUCCUGUAUCUGUUCUCCCCCUCCCUCCCUCUUGCAAAUCUCUGGCACAGGGGGCUAGCAGCAGCAGCAGUCAGCAAAAGGGGCGAGGGGGUGGGGGGGGAGAUACACAAGCAUAUUGUAGCCCAAGGAAACAAUCCGCGUCGCAGCUGAGAAACACUUGAGCAGCAGACACUGAACUUGGGUUUGCACGCCUGGAAGAAGCAGUGGCCUUUCCCUGGAGACACUUGUUCACACUCAAGGAUGUCACACUGCCAGACACCAGAACUGGACACAGUAUACCAGUGAUGGCCACACCAGUGCCAAAUACAGAGAGUCACUGAUUUCCAGGAUUCAGCCCCCCAGCCUGUGAGUACGGUGUAUGUUGUUUCUUCCUAUAGGUGAGCUGUUACCACCACAAGAAUCUUGGGGAAGGCAUGGUUGGCGCGUGAGGCAGACACCAUGUGUGUGCAGCCUGUGCAGAUACUGCUGUAAAAAUCUUUGAGUGAAGGUGCAGGGAUGCACCGACACCCAAAGUGGAGCAUCCACAGUGACAUCUCUUGAAGAAGAAUACAGAGCAUCGGCUGACAGGUGGGAGCAGCCCCAGCUGCAAGUAGGGAUGAAGCAGGACUCCUCACAGUGCCUUGCCUGGGGGGGCCAUGUCAGGAGGCACAAUAUAUGGAGGGGAGGGUGACCAGUCUCCAGGACCCAUUCAUUGGAAGUUAUCCAGUUUCCAGUCUCUCAAAUGCAGAUGGUUCCCAAACUGGAACAGGUGGCUGAAGGUGGGCGAUAAUGUGGUUCUGCGCAACUUUUGACCGUGGCAUCAAACCUGCUGAUACUAGAUUGAUGAAGAAAGUGUGGUAGAGGAGGAAGGGGCAGAGACACUCUUCUGGAACAUUUGUCUCUUUCCAAAAAGCUCUGAAGACUUCUGUUGGCCUUAGUAGUAGAAGGAAGUCUGCCUCUGUGUAAGGUAGCUCUGAGAUCUAUACUGCUUUCUUGUUAGGACUAGUGUGUCUAAUCCCUGGAACAGCAGUAACAAAUCACUGGGACCAGAUGGCAUUCACCCAGGAGUUCUGAAAGAACUCCGAUGUAAAACUGCAGAACUAUUAACUGUGAAAUUGCAGAUAGAAAAUUUAGGAAGCUAAUGCUCUCUUGAAGUGAGACUGAAAGGUUGAUUAAUGGCUCAUGUGUUAGACCUUCUUUGAGACUCACAUCAGUGGGUUUUUGGGUGGGCAGUAUGUAACAUAAGCAAGGGAAGGCAUUGCCUUUCCCAAACUUCCUAGCCUUUGCCCUCCUCUCUGGCUGUCCGGGAAGGAUCAGGCUGUGACGUGGCUGCCCAGGUCUCCAGUUGCAAGUUGCUCAGGCUGGCUGGGAAGGAUGGGGCCAAUGGAAUGGGAGAGACUAGGAAGCCUAGGGAUGUUCAGGGGCUGAAGGCAGCAACCUUGGUUCUAUUGUGAUGGGGUGGGGAGCCUUAGAUGGGGAGGGACUGGGGCUUGCUUUCCCCAUUUGGGCCUUUACCCACUACCCAUGGUGUGCAGAGAUAUCUGCUCUCUUCUCCUCAGCUGUUACUUUGUUUGGUUUGCGGGUGUUAGGGCAGGCAAAGCUGAUAAACUCAGCAUAGUUUCCCUGAUAAUUAUUCUUUUGUAGUAUCUUUCAUUCCAGGGUCACCAAACACCACAUCAGUGAGGUAACCAAAUAUUUUCAAGAUGAGGAAACUAGGGAAAAGCACUCUACAUGGGAAUUUUCAAAAAUGCCCCACCAUUGUUCACAUCAGUUCAGCCUUACCAGUGCUAGCGAGGAUAAUCAUAAAGAACUGCCAGUUAUCCCUCUUUUUUUAAGGAAUUUCUCAUCUUAUCUUGCUCAGGUACAAUUUAGGAAAAUAAUCUUUGUUGUUUCUUUAAAUACCAUUUAAUUCAUUGUGAUGUUUUGUUUCAGAUGGAAGUGUAUGUCAAAACUACUUGGCUGAGCACUAGUAAUUGGAUCAAAUUACAUUCAAACGUAUUGCUAGAAAUAGUAAUUGUUGGGCUGCUUCAGACUCAAUAAUAAAAAUAAAGUACAGUUGUCUCUAUUUUUCACUGCAGUAGCUCUCAACCUUUCCAAACUUUCAGGAAUCUGAUUUGUCUUGCAUAGUCCAACUUUUGCCUCAUUUAAACAUAAAUUUGCUUAAAAAAAUCAGACAUAAAAAAUACAAAUGUCACAGCACAUUAUUACUGAAAAAUUGCUUUCUCUGUAUGAAAUUUUAGUUUGUACUGAUUUUGCCACUGCUUUUAUGUAUCCUAUUGUAAAACCAAGCAAAUAUCUAAAUGAGUUGUUGUGCCUCCUGGAAGAUCUCUGUAUACUGUGUACUAGGGAUUUGUGCAUUGUCCCAGGGAACCACCAGCCACUUCGCGUAUAAUUGUCAAAAUGCUCAGCGAUUACACGGUUACUUAAUUAAAUGCAUUUUAACAUCCCUA